AGUUGAAACUGAGUUUUUCUGAUGACAUGAGAGAAGAUGGAACUUAUGUGUCAACAGGGUCAUUUGUCAUGUACAACUGCGCAAGGCUGAUUAUGCUGUUUGCUCACUUCCAACAGGCUGUUGAUAAUGGUACCUUUCCUCCGUUACCUGAGCUGGAAAAGAUUGACUUUUCUACUUUGAGAGAAGAGGUAGUUUUAAGCUCCCCUUAGAGCUGUAGACUGAGGCAAGAGUGGUCGCUGUUGUUGACUUACGUGUUCACUUUUCCGGACCUUGUACAGCAAACCAUCCAGAACAUGGAACCCUCUGACACCACAACGCUCAACAUACAUACACAUAAGAUGUGCCAGAUGCUGGGAAGUCUAAGCAGAUGUUUGAGUUCAUAUUAUUCAAGAUACCAUGUUCUUGGGGAGGCAAGGCCCCACUUGUACCCACAGAUGUUUGCCCGCCUGUACCUGCUGAAGGCAGUACACCAGGUCCUGGUCAAUGGCCUGCAGCUGAUUGCCGUCUCACCGCUCUCUCAGGUGUAGACAACAUGUCACAAUGUAUGUGUCUAGGAAAGGGUGCAAUUCUUGGGUAAACAGUUACAAAUAAGCCAUGGUUUUGGGCACUCCUGAUUCGCUCAGUAAAACUGUGAUACUUCUGUUUGAACAAACUUUUUGAUUAAGACAGUGGAGAAAAAUAGAAGACGGAGUUGGAUAAACAACAGAUGGAACAGCCGGAUUAAAUGGUUGUGUAGGAAGUGACGUUAAUUCUCAAAGAAAGGCAAAGAAGUUCAAGAUUGUAAACCCUGCACAUCAAGUAGGACAAUUGACCGCCACGUUCAUGCUAGAGUAUUGAAACAGAACACAAACAAGCUUGGCACAUGUAUGUUUAUGUGAGCAAUUUUGAAGAGAUAAAUGAGGUUGGCUAUUUUUCAUAAAAUUACCUUUCUGGGGUGAAGGCCAGUACUUAUAAUUGCAAGGAGACAUAAUGUUGACAUCAGGAUUCAUACAGCAGUGCAAUCUUAUAACAAACAUGUUAGGGAAGUCAAUCAUUAAUUAAUAUGGGGACUUAUAGUGCAAUUAUUAACAGAUUCCUAUUUCUCAAACACUCAUGUAUCAGGCCCCACCAGCCAGUAUUUGCCAGACUUUCGCAGCGUGUUCUAGGCUGACCAAAGAGAGAAUCUUCAUUUUUAUUAAUGCCACAUCAACGAUGACUUUCUUUUUAUUUAACCACUUCAACUAGACAAUGCUGAAACUUAUGGUAGUGUAAUUGUGAGAAGCAAACUAUUUGAUCACUAGGUUGCUAAAAUUUGUUUUGAAAACAUUGGAAGUUUGUUAAACAUGAACUAUAUAAAAAUUUUAUGUCAAUACAUUGUUCAUAAGUGAAUUAGUUGUUGACCUUUGUCUGUAUAUUUCAUGCCUUUUAUUAUUAAAAAUAUC